UGGGGAAUAUUGCACAAUGGGCGAAAGCCUGAUGCAGCAACGCCGCGUGAGUGAUGAAGGUCUUCGGAUUGUAAAGCUCUGUCUUUUGGGACGAUAAUGACGGUACCAAAGGAGGAAGCCACGGCUAACUACGUGCCAGCAGCCGCGGUAAUACGUAGGUGGCGAGCGUUGUCCGGAUUUACUGGGCGUAAAGGGUGCGUAGGCGGAUGUUUAAGUGAGAUGUGAAAUACCCGGGCUUAACUUGGGUGCUGCAUUUCAAACUGGAUAUCUAGAGUGCAGGAGAGGAGAAUGGAAUUCCUAGUGUAGCGGUGAAAUGCGUAGAGAUUAGGAAGAACACCAGUGGCGAAGGCGAUUCUCUGGACUGUAACUGACGCUGAGGCACGAAAGCGUGGGUAGCAAACAGGAUUAGAUACCCGGGUAGUCCACGCCGUAAACGAUGAGUACUAGGUGUAGGAGGUAUCGACCCCCUUCUGUGCCGCAGUAAACACAUUAAGUACUCCG
rnacentral:rRNA from 1 species